rnacentral:lncRNA from 1 species
CCUUGGUUUCCCCUAGUUCCAUCCUCUUUAGGUUUCUGAAAAAUGUAGUCAGUGGAACCUUUCAUUCACCCCAGUGUUCCGUACAAGCCAGAAUUUACUUCAAUCUGAAAACCGCUGUUUUUCAGGGUGAGCCAGUAACCUGUGUUUGGUUUUGUUGGAUGAUCUUAGAUAAAUAUAAAAAUUAAUUUACUUGACUGCAGUCUGCUUAAAUCUAAAGAAAUACAUACUGUGAUUUUAGGGCGAGCCCGGAGUUCCCGGUACCCCUGGCCUACCGGGCUUUGAUGGAAUUCGGGGAAAGAGAGGAAAGCCGGGUAAACAAGGUCUUCCUGGAUUAAAAGGAUAUCAGGGUGCUGUUGGUGACUCUGGAUACGAUGGGAUCCUGGGUCGGAACGGUCAUCGAGGAAGGCGCGGUUCCCCGGGAGCUAAAGGUUUCCGUGGUGAUGACGGAGAUGAGUGACGUCUGCCUUCUACCAGGGAUCUGCUGGACCGGACGGGACUCCAGGAAUGGACGGUGGACAGGUCAGGAGUUCGAACACACCAAACCAGUUUGUUAUUUCUUUGCUUAGUUGCCAUUUUUUUCUGUCAAUAUUUAAGUUGCACAUUUAUUUCUCGUGUGACAUUUUCUAACAUCACCCUGUGACAGCAGCCCUAAUUAAUUGCAAGAAAUCGAUAAUUCCGUGAUUUAAGUGUCCCUGUUGUCACACAGCUCUAUUCACAACCGAAUGAAUAGAAUCAAAUUAUUUCUUUUGCAGUUAAA